rnacentral:rRNA from 1 species
AUUGAACGCUGGCGGAAUGCUUUACACAUGCAAGUCGAACGGUAGAGGGGGCAACCCCUUGAGAGUGGCGAACGGGUGAGUAACGCGUAUGCAAUCUACCUUGUACAGGGGGAUAGCCCAGAGAAAUUUUGGAUUAAUACCCCCAUAGUGUAAUGAAAUGGCAUCAUUUUAUUACUAAAGUUCCAACGGUACAAGAUGAGCAUGCGUCCCAUUAGCUAGUUGGUGUGGUAACGGCAUACCAAGGCAACGAUGGGUAGGGGUCCUGAGAGGGAGAUCCCCCACACUGGUACUGAGACACGGACCAGACUCCUACGGGAGGCAGCAGUGAGGAAUAUUGGUCAAUGGGCGCAAGCCUGAACCNGCCAUGCCGCGUGCAGGAUGA